rnacentral:lncRNA from 1 species
UAAAAAAUAUGCUUCAAAUCUUCUUCACGUCUAAUCAUGAUCCUAGUAUCAAGAGGACCUUUCUACUCAAAAUUAUUCAAAACGACAUCUCUUCUCAAUCCAUCAACUUCAGCGAAAACAUUCUCAAAAUCCUCGGGAACCAGAAAGGCAUCGUAGUGAAAAAGAUCCUCAAGGUGUUCGAGGAUUUUAAUAAAGUUGAUGGACUGAGAAAGGAGGUCAUUUUGAUUAAUUUUAAGAAGUAAAAUCGACUCGAAGCAUAUUUUUUACCAUGUUCUAUUUUCUGUGUUUGGGCUAGAACUACCUCAUGUCACAGAGGUGGCUAGAACUAC